rnacentral:rRNA from 1 species
CAGUAGCCACGGUAAUACGUAGGUGGCAAGCGUUGUCCGGAAUUAUUGGGCGUAAAGGGCUCGCAGGCGGUUUCUUAAGUCUGAUGUGAAAGCCCCCGGCUCAACCGGGGAGGGUCAUUGGAAACUGGGAAACUUGAGUGCAGAAGAGGAGAGUGGAAUUCCACGUGUAGCGGUGAAAUGCGUAGAGAUGUGGAGGAACACCAGUGGCGAAGGCGACUCCCUGGUCUGUAACUGACGCUGAGGAGCGAAAGCGUGGGGAGCGAACAGGAUUAGAUACCCCCGUAGUCCCUGUCUCUUAUAC